rnacentral:rRNA from 1 species
UACGAAGGGUGCAAGCGUUGUUCGGAAUUACUGGGCGUAAAGCGCGCGUAGGCGGGCUUGUAAGUUGAUUGUGAAAUCCCUGGGCUUAACCUGGGAACUGCAGUCAAUACUGCAAGUCUUGAAUGUCUGAGAGGAUGGCGGAAUUCCCGGUGUAGUAGUGAAAUACGUAGAUAUCGGGAAGAAUACCUGAGGCGAAGGCGGCUAUCUGGCGGUACAUUGACGCUGAGGCGCGAAAGCGUGGGGAGCAAACAGG